UUUCCGUAGGUGAACCUGCGGAAGGAUCAUUACCGAGUGGAGGGCACUCGCUGCCCGACCUCAUACCCUCUGAUUUGAUUAAAGACCCGCUCGCUACCUCGGGUCCACUAGGGCAUUGCUGCCUCUAGAGUCCCGGUGGUAAUCUCUCAAACACGCUUAUUACUGUCGUCUAAGCAGAUGGAUUUUGAAUCGUUAAAAAACUUUCAACAACGGAUCUCUUGGCUCCAGCAUCGAUGAAGAACGCAGC
rnacentral:misc_RNA from 1 species